GAUGAACGCUGGCGGCGUGCCUAAUACAUGCAAGUCGAGCGAACAGACGAUGCUCUUUCUCCUCUUACGUUACCGGCGGACGGGUGAUUCACACGUCUCUAACCUACCUUUCUGUCUGGUAUAACUUCGCGAAACCUCAUCUAAUACCCGUUAAUAUAUUGAACCUCAUGGUUCUUUAGUCAAUUACCUUUUUUCUGUCCCUUAUAGAUUUUUCCUCGACGCAUUAGCUAGUUGGUAAGGUAACGGCUUACCAAGGCAACGAUGCGUAGCCGACCUGAGAGGGUGAUCGGACACACUGGAAGUGAGACACGGUCCAGACUACUACGGGAGGCAGCAGUAGGGAAUAUUGGGCAAUGGGCGAAAGCGUGACGGAGCAAAGCCGAGUGAGUGAAGAAGGUCUUCGGAUCGUAAAACACUGUUAGUAGGGAAGAAAAAAAGUGUAAGAAAAUAUGGACGUCUUGACGGUACCAAAAGAGAAAGCAACGGCUAACUACGUG
rnacentral:rRNA from 1 species